rnacentral:misc_RNA from 1 species
AACUGAAAGAUGUCUUGCUCAACACUCUGAAUAAAAAGUGUCAUAUUUGAAUGCAUGUGAUCAUAAUCAGGAGUUAUUAAUACUUUUUUGGAUUCCUAAUUAUUAGCUUAUGGAAGUUGAGAUCCAAGCAUGGAUAGAAUACUAUUCUCUAAUAAUAGAUGCUUAAUUCCCUUCAAAAGUAUGACUGUUCUGAACUAAUUUUAUAUUCCACAUAACAUGUGGCAAUGCUUCUUCCAUGCCAAGUGACUUCUUCCUGCUAUUUUGUUUAAUACAUCACAAUUUAGUGACAUUUCUUCUCUUAAACAUCAAUUCAAGCAUGAAUAAGCUUUCUUUGCUAUGAGGCACUAGAUUUUUUUUGCCAUCUUGAGAACUUUAAGUUUGUGAAGUUGAAAUUUUUAAGUCCAUGGAAGAUUGUGGAACUAUAGCAAGUUCAAACCUAAUAAUUGCUGAUAAAUCUUGAGAUGCAACCAUACAUUAAGUAUUUUAAUUUGCUAAAAGAACUGAGGAAGCAAGUGGGGAUUGAUUUACUAUUUCUAUCGGUGUUUGUAUCUGUGCAUGCAUAUAUGAGCCUGUAUGUUGGGG